UAAGGGUUGGCAGUGGAGGCGAGGGCUUCUUUUUAGAGUUCCUUGUGUAGCUGAGGUUUUCUGAGGUUCUAGCUCCAAGAAAAAGGAUAACAACUUCUCAUGGAUGGAGGUGUAUUAAAGGGACCUGGGUUAUGGACCAAGGCAGUAACGUUCUGUAAAUGAAGAUGUGAGAACCAUCUUUAGGCUGGUGAUUCUUUUCUUGCCGUUUAUCUUUUUCUCCCUGACUUCCAGAUGUGUUUGGGAUUGUGAAUGGCUGCCAAAGGCGGAACUUGCAACAGGGGAAGUCUUAGAUGAGGCUGAAGUGGUGGAACAGCUAAGAAGCUCUGCACUGCCUUUUGAUUGUGGUGGUCUCUGGGUGUGGGAGAACAUUAACAGUUUUUUUUAUCCUCUGAACUUCUGCUGAUCAGUACAAUCCAGAUCUCAGCAGAGAAAGAAGGGAACUUGGACAAUUUUCUGACUGCACUAGGAAUCCUCUCCUCCAUGGAAUCCUGGAUAACUCUUAUCCACUCUUCAAUUUUAGUCUUAAUGGUUAUGUAUCUGUUCUUCCUGCCUCUCUAGAUAAACUAGUGAAGCAUGAAUGGAUGCUAGAAUCCUACAGUUUCAGAUGGAAAAUGUCAAAUUCUACUUUUCAGUUUGUUGUCACUUUAAUGUAGCUUCCUUCACUUGAGCUGUAUGAACUCAGUGCAGCCUCUUUCUACUGUAUCCAUUCUGUCUUCAAGUCAGAUUAAGAUUGCUAGCUAGCAUACUUAUGAUGUUGUGUAGCUUUAAAAAAAUCAUUGUGAAACACUCGAUGACACGUGCAUUUCAUUUGGAUAGAAUAAAUACAGGAAUAAAAAUCAAAUAAAACAGUGUAAAGUGGCAAUAUUUGGGAUUGGAAACUUUUAUCUGGUCCAGUGAUAGAAGAGAAGAAUGGGCAGCCUUUGAAGUAUUUUGGACUGAAAAGGGAAAUAUUAUCCUGCAGCCUUUGAUUUAAAAACUCUGGAUCCAUCACCCUGUGCAGUAAAGAAAGCCAUCAGAUUGCAAGUAGACAGUAGAAUUGGGAGGCUGUUUUAGGUCCAAGGCAAGACAACCUUGCACUAAGAACAGAGAAAUCAGGGAAAAUUAAUUAUUGUCAUUCUGAUAUAAUGCUACUUGAUCCAGUAAAUGGGGGAAGAUUGAUUUCAAAUAUUUACUGGGUGGAAAAAAAUCUCAAAUCAUGAGAAUGACGGACUUUGUACUGGGGGGGAAAAAGCAAAAUUCAGAGCUCAGACAUCGAGUUCUUUCUUGAAACUUGAGCAGGUGCCUUUAUUUUUUUCCUACAUCCACCAGCUCUUUUAGGAGUAGGUGGACUUAUAUUUAGGUAAUCAUGUUUUCGUGGGUUUUCUUAGGUGAAGAGCCUUGUUUAGGGAUGGCACUUUGCAUGUUACGUUGUUGCAAUGUGUGAUUUCACACAGCAGUCUGUUCCACUCCGUGGUCAGUUGAACACAUCUGCAUAGAAACAUAGAAUCCCGAGGUUGGAAAGGACUUGCAUGACUGUCUAGUCUAACCAUUCUCCUAUCACCAUUACUAUCCAUGAAGCUACUAGCUGCGUCUUGCCCUGGGGAGUGUGUAGUUCAUUGGCUGUGCCAUGCAAUCAUAUCACAAAAGCCUUGGGAUUGUUGUUGUUUAAUCUGCCUUUAAUGAAGCCUGCCAGAUCAGCUUAUGCUGCUUGUCACUGUUUUCUGGCCUGGCUGCCUGAGCCUUGGCAAAUAUUUCUGCUUUUAAAACAAGGAAAGUACUGACCUUCAUUUUGGAGUGUUGACUGAAAUUGAAAUCUAUGGGAUGCUCAAACAGAAAUCCACCUUUGAUCUGUGUCCUGUGUGUGCUAGGCUAGGUGCAGUCAGAUUGGUUUCAAUUCUCACAGUGACCAUUUCCUUGGCUGACCUCAGGCAAGGUCCAUGCUGGGACUGAGAUCAGGACCUACCUACUCUCUAGGGUAGGCUGGUGUUCAGGAACCAUCGCUAGUGGAGUUGAUUAUUGAAUCUUUGAGUACUGAAGUUGCCUUCUGUCUCUUUCCCAGUCAUCCUUUGUGAGAAAGGGUAGGUGAAGGCAGUGAAUUCAAGAUAAUGGGUAUGUUUGAUUUUGAUCUGGGGAGAGUAUUUUCUUGUAACCCAGAUAAGGAUACCAAGUUCAUGGAUGGAUGGCAAGAUUUCUUUCUCGGUAUUCCCCAUUAGCAAAGUUAGACAGCUCUCUGAUAAUGUGGUGGCUUUUGUGAGUGCCAUCCCUAUGAGUUACUGAAGCAUAGAAGUCUAGACAAGGGCAUCUGCAGGUCAUGCAGUUUGAAACUGACACCCUGACCCCCUGCCUGUUUCUCUGUGAAUCUGUCUCUCCCUUUAUUUUCUGCUAAGAUUUUUUUUCCCUGUCCAAAUCACAUCAAUCCAAGUAGACAGAAAAAGGGCCUUUUCUUGGUAAGAGGACUAUGGGAGGAAAGAGACAUGUAUCAAAAGCAGCAUAUCUGAUAAAUGGUCAAUAUCCUGGAAUUAUAUGUUGCUUUUCUAUGUAAAAGCCUAGCAUGAAAUGAAUUGAGAUGACAUGUAAAAUAAAGAUGUAUCUGGAGUAAGGAAUGCAGUUUUGUACAAGCAUUUCUACUGAUGCUUCUCUCCAUCUUUGAGCAAAGCCAUUUGUAAUGUUUUAUUUGUAAUACUGUUAUUUUUCAUAGGGCUGAUAUAAUGUCAUGGGAAAAGAUAUGGGAAAUGUAUAAUAAAUACUGCUGGUAUACUGUUUUAGAUAGCCACUGUAAGUCUGCCUUUCUCAACUGUAAGGUAGCUAUCAUGUUCAGUGAUGUGCCAAACAACAUCCAGGUCACAGUAGCUGAAUUCCAUGUAUUCUGAGCUUAUUCUCUGAGAGACCAUCACUGUACAACCUGAGCUGUCAAGUGAAGCUUGU